rnacentral:rRNA from 1 species
AUUGAACGCUGGCGGCAUGCCUUACACAUGCAAGUCGAACGGCAGCGGGGACUUCGGUCCGCCGGCGAGUGGCGAACGGGUGAGUAAUGUAUCGGAACGUACCAUUCAGUGGGGGAUAACUAUCCGAAAGGAUAGCUAAUACCGCAUAUUCUGUGAGCAGGAAAGCAGGGGAUCGCAAGACCUUGCGCUGAUUGAGCGGCCGAUAUCAGAUUAGCUAGUUGGUGAGGUAACGGCUCACCAAGGCUAUGAUCUGUAGCGGGUCUGAGAGGAUGAUACGCCACACUGGGACUGAGACACGGCCCAGACUCCUACGGGAGGCAGCAGUGGGGAAUUUUGGACAAUGGGCGCAAGCCUGAUCCAGCCAUGCCGCGUGAGUGAAGAAGGCCUUCGGGUUGUAAAGCUCUUUCGGCCGGGAAGAAAUCGCAUCAGCUAAUACCUGGUGUGGAUGACGGUACCGGAAUAAGAAGCACCGGCUAACUACGUGCCAGCCGCCGCAGUAAAAC